AACUCUGAGCGGUGGAUCACUCGGCUCGUGCGUCGAUGAAGAGCGCAGCCAACUGCGUGAAUUAGUGUGAAUUGCAGGAUAUCUUGAACAUCGACAUCUUGAACGCAUAUUGCGGCCUCAGGUCUCUCCCUGUGGCCACGCCUGGCCGAGGGUCG
rnacentral:rRNA from 1 species